rnacentral:rRNA from 1 species
AUUGAACGCUAGCGGUAUGCCUUACACAUGCAAGUCGAACGAGUGGCGAACGGGUGUGUAAUGUAUCGGAACGUGCCCCGUCGCGGGGGAUAACUACGCGAAACGUAGCUCAUACCGCAUACUAUUGGAGCGGCCGAUAUCGGAUUAGCUAGUGGGUGGGGUAACGGCUCACCAAGGCGACGAUCCGUAGCUGGUUUGAGAGGACGACCAGACGCACUGGGACUGAGAAACGGCCCAGACUCCUACGGGAGGCAGCAGGGGGGAAUAUUGGACCAUGGGGGAAAGCCUGAGACAGCCAUCCCGCGUGUGCGAGGAAGGCCUUCGGGGUGUAAAGCACUUUUGGCAGGGAAGCGGUACCUGAAGAAUAAGCACCGGCUAACUACGUGCCAGCAGCCGCGGUAAUUC